GAUGAACGCUGGCGGCGUGCCUAAUACAUGCAAGUCGUACGGAAAGGCCCUUCGGGGUACUCGAGUGGCGGACGGCUGAGUAACGCGUGGGAACGUGCCCCAAAGUGAGGGAUAACGCACCGAAAGGUGUGCUAAUACCGCAUAUGGUCUUCGGAUUAAAGCUUCGGCGCUUUGGGAGCGGCCCGCGUACGAUUAGAUAGUUGGUGAGGUAAUGGCUCACCAAGUCGACGAUCGUUAGCUGGUCUGAGAGGAUGAUCAGGCACACUGGGACUGGGACACGGCCCAGACUCCUGCUGGAGGCAGCAGUGGGGAAUUUUGGACAAUGGACGAAAGUCUGAUCCAGCCAUUCAGCGUGCAGGAUGGAGGCACUCGGGUUGUAAACUGCUUUUGUACAGAACGAAAAGGCUCUGGUUAAUACCUGGGGCUCAUGACGGUACUGUAAGAAUAAGCACCGGC
rnacentral:rRNA from 1 species